CUCCUGUCCCUUUCGUUUCUGUGCUGAGCUGCAUGGAGGCGGAAUAGGUGGAGACGGAGAGGUGGGCGAUUCGGCGGACCUUGUCUUCCUCAACGAUGAUUGUGGAUUUCCGGCGAGGUCCUCUUGAGGUUAGUCUCUUCUUCUCCCCAUCUUUCCAUUCCUAGUUCAGUUGUUUGAUGUGAGGGUAGGCGGACAGAUUGGCCUUUGAAAUCCGCUCUUCAUCCCCUAAUCCCAUCCUGUCGGGUUGAGCUGUUGAUUUUCCACGGGAAGCAUCUGCAUUGGCCGUGCGCCACCAUACGCAGGCAACGCAGAUGAGAAAUUUGUGGAGGAUUUACCCCCUUUGCCUAGAUUCGUCUCCUGUUGGUUUCCCCACUUUCCGCUAUGUUCGAUUUGCGCGAUUAAAGAUCCAUGUGUUCAUCGAUUUUUGAUGGUUUAUCGCAUAUGUGUAUCCUGUGUCCAUGUGCAGUUAACUGAGAGAUGUGUGUAUGUUUGAAUUGUGGCAAUAGUUUUGGUAUUUUAUCUGAUAUCAUGCAUGAUAGAUUGUUCCGGUAUUCCAUUUCCAUAUGUUUCAGAAAAGGGGAAGUAUAUUGUGUUGACUGUUGACCAGUAUCUCCAUCAGAAAUUGUACAGAUUGAAGAAUCUUUUCCUUGUUUUGAAAAUUCUUGAAGCCUACUAGUAUUGCAAUAGCACCUUUGAUCUCCUUGGUAAUAUAGCCAUCUCUUUUUCUGUAUGCUCCGGCUAAGAUUGUCUAACUUAGCAAAGUGUGUCUUACAUCACGAGAAACACUGAUGGGUGAUGUUCCUACUUGUGCUUCAUGUUCUUUCGCUUUUCUGUAUCUGAUUAUUGUAUUUUUCUCAUCAACAGCCUGCUGUAACAAUGGGCAAGGGGACAUUCUCCUUUUAUUAUUAUUUUUGUUGGCUUAUACUAUCCAUCAUAUAUCUGUAUGUGUGAUUUUUAUACUUCGACACAGUGCAAUUUCUUUUCAGCAAACAAUUCAUAAAACCAUAUGUAUUUGUAGUGCUUCUACUGGCAGUAUGAUAUGUUGAAUUUGUCAAAAUUAUAUUUUCAAGCUAAAUUCACGUGGAUAUAUAUUCUUCGUACCAUGUACCUUUUGCAUCAGUAUGUUCUUUGGGUGAUUGUCCUUCAUAUAAUGUCUAAACUUGUCAUUUUCUUACAGAUGUUCUUCAUUCUUUUCAGUUUUGAAUAAUAAAAUUUAUAGUGAUAAUUUAUAUCAAUGUGGCAUUAUUAUGACAUUUUAGUUCCAUUUGAAAAUCCUUUUCAUGUAGUGAUAUAAAAUUACACUAGUGAAACUUCUUCAAUUUCAUCGCACAGAUUGUAUUUUCUAUCUUACGGAGGGUGCCCUUUUAUUGCUAUGAUGUACAGUCAUUGUGUGUUUUAUCUCUUCUAGAGGUUUUUUUUGAUUUCAUCAUAGUCUGCUCGAUCAUGGAGGGUUAGCUCAAAUCUUUCUAGCUAGUUUCUGCCCUCUCUACAACUGUUUCCUCAUGCACCUCCACAUUUACUGUACCAUUCCUACUUAAUUAUAGUUUAGUACAUGCAGAGACAAUGUUGCUUUCAGUGCAUACGACCACUAAAUCUUGGAUAAUCCCAUGCUUGCAUAUUUGAAACUAUUUUUCCUGGCCACCAUCUAUGGUUUGCUUGGCAUCCCUUUUUUCAUACUUGAUGUGGUACAUGCCUAUCUGCCGCAUAAUGAGGUAUGUGGCAUUGGUUAUAAAUGCCUUUUAAUUUUGUGUAGCUUUUGAAUCUAGGUGACCGAUUCGAUUUGUAAUUAUAAUUUCUAUUGUUCUAGAACAACGAUGACUCUAAGAUGAUAUGUGAAGACAACUUCAAGAAUGUAUACAAGUUAUUUUGUGGUUGAGUAUCCUAUUGUGUCUACUAAGAGUUUACCCAAGUGUUUUUGAGAUGAGUGGUGUGUAAUGCACCUUUCCAAGAUUUCUAUGGUACGGUGUCACCCAUAAAAUUGAAAUUGUGUUCUCCCUGAGCUUUAUUAGAGCUCGCAAUGUGGAGGAAAUCGGCACUGGUCAAACUGUAACUGUGGCAUGUACUUGUGGGGGGUGAUUGUAAUGUGUCUGUGGACCACAAAUAAUAUAUUAUGCCUAAGUUUGUGGACUCAUUUUUUAUGCUACUUUAGAUGUAUUUUUCACCCUCUCAUGCUGUUAUUUGAUUUCCAGCUUGCAU